rnacentral:rRNA from 1 species
CGUGCAGGCGGUUUCGUAAGUCGGACGUGAAAGCUCCUGGCUUAACUGGGAGAGUGCGUUCGAUACUGCGGGGCUUGAGGUCGGGAGAGGGACGUGGAAUUCCCGGUGUAGUGGUGGAAUGCGUAGAUAUCGGGAGGAACACCAGUGGCGAAGGCGGCGUCCUGGCCCGUACCUGACGCUGAGACGCGAAAGCGUGGGUAACGAACG